UACGAAGGGGGCUAGCGUUGCUCGGAAUCACUGGGCGUAAAGCGCACGUAGGCGGCUUUCUAAGUCAGGGGUGAAAUCCUGGAGCUCAACUCCAGAACUGCCUUUGAUACUGGAGAGCUUGAGUCCGGGAGAGGUGAGUGGAACUCCGAGUGUAGAGGUGAAAUUCGUAGACAUUCGGAAGAACACCAGUGGCGAAGGCGGCUCACUGGCCCGGUACUGACGCUGAUGUGCGAAAGCGUGGGGAGCAAACAGG
rnacentral:rRNA from 1 species